UCUAAUAUGGCAGAUUAGUGCAAUAACCUUAAGAGUUAUAUAUAAAGUUUACUUUUGUUAGAA
rnacentral:tRNA from 1 species